GGCCAUACCAUGCUGAAAACACCGGUUCUCGUCCAAUCACCGAAGUUGAGCAUCGUCGUUCGCAGUCAGUACUUGGGAAGGUGACCACCUGGGAACACCGUGGGCCGUU
rnacentral:rRNA from 1 species